GCAAGUCGAGGGGCAGCAUUGGUACUUGUACAGAUGGCGACCGGCGCACGGGUGCGUAACGCGUAUAGAACCUACCUUUUACUGGAGAAUAGCCCAGAGAAAUUUGGAUUAAUGCUCCAUAGUAUUAUGUAAUGGCAUCGAUUUAUAAUUAAAGAUUUGUUGGUAAGAGAUGGCUAUGCGUUCUAUUAGUUAGUUGGUUUGGUAACGGCAUACCAAGGCUACGAUAGAUAGGGGUCCUGAGAGGAGAUC
rnacentral:rRNA from 1 species